UUUUAUUGCUGAACUGUGGUUUAUAACAAUCUUUUUCACUGUCUGAAGAAUAAAAGUUCUUACUGUUUAAUGAACAGGCGUUUGAACUGGGCAAACGGGGUGACAGCACUGAACAUGAGAUCAUUGCAGCAUAGUGUAGCAAACUGGCACCCUGCCUUUUCACCCCUUUGCUUCGGCAGAUUUGUGCAAUCCCCAUUUAUAAAAUCAGCACAGGGGCUAGAUGAAUUCUCUGGUCUCUUCUACCUCUAUCACUGUGCAGGCACUUGCAACAAGGAUUGGUGCAGCUUUUGCGCAGUGCUUUGUGCUUGGAAUUUCGAGAAGAACGAAAAAGAAGACAGGCAUCCUGGUCCUAUUCCGAGAAAUAACAGGAGCCUGAGAAGAAACAAAUCUGAGUUUGUCCUAGAUACAAGAGUGAUGGAAAAAAUGUGAAUCUCCUGCUUCAAAAAAAAAAAAUCUGGCAUGUUUAACUACAGAGACAUCAGGAUGUGUUAGAGCUUCUUAAAACAAUAUAACUAAAUGAGCCUAAGUGAUUGUUUCUUUUACUUACCAAAAAAAUCUGUAUUUUAUUUUAUUAUUGCUUAAAUAGCAAUAUUUGGCAGUGGGUGAAAACGUACCUUUCAUAACAGUGCAAGGAAAAAUUAAAACGGAAAUGAAAAAUGAAGAAGUUGGUUAUACCAGAAAUCAGUGAAGCUGAACCGCUUCCUGAAGAGCACUGAAUUUUCUAUACCAGAUUCUACUUCAGUGGCCAGGACCUUUAUGGCCACUUAUUCUUUUGCUCUGGAUUCUGAAAAAACAUCAUGGAUCCAUCCCUAAAGUAGAAAUGUUCCUUUCCGUCCCGCAAGCAAGGCUAAAGAUUGGAGGAGAAUGAAUGUGAAUCUAAAUUCAGGAUUGCAGUCAUGCUAUUAAAAGUUUUCAGCUUCAGAACAAAAUGAUUUGGGAAAUAUGAUCAGUUUUCUUACUCUGUCAACAAUGUUUAAAAGUUGUAGGUGGUUCAAGUGACUCGACUCAAAUAACAACAAUCUUUGCAUGUCAAUAAUUUCUCAGUUUAUGGAGUGAAAGGUAGUUUUGAGUUUGGAAAAGAAGCAGUUGUUAAUAUCAGCCUGUAAUGGGAUUAAAUGUUGAAUAUGAGGAAGAGGCAAAAAGUAAAUAAAUGCCCGAAAGUUAUCCUUGCACUGAGGAUGGGUUUAAAAUGCUUUAUAUCCUAGGGCCCACCUUACUGUAGAGGUAUAAUGGGGAAAUGUUUCCAUUAGAAACCCAUUAACAAGCAUUUAAUCCAUCUUUAGAGCAUUAGAGGAAAUAGAAUCAAACAUUUACUGUACAAAUCUGCUGCAAGCAGACUUUAACCCAUUUACAGACUUAUCCUUCUGAUGUAUUGUACUAUGGCUACUCAUGAGUCAGAAUAGCAAAGAUUUUAUUUGUACUCCUUUUUUCCAAAGUUGUGGAAUCUAUUCUAAGUAUCUUGAUCAAUCAGCUGAUAUUAUUGUUUUGAAUGUAUGUGUGUAUAUUGCCUAUUUAUUUGAUCUUUUCCACCCCCUACUUGAAAAGGUGGGGGGGUUUAUACAACAGCAACAAAAGUUUUACUGAAUGUAAUCUUGACGACUAAGUGAUUCAGAUUAUUUGAAGACGAUUUCUACUGGAUCAUAUCGGACUUUUCCUAGUCCCUGAGACCCUAACUUGUGAGGUUUUUUAGCAACAAUCACAAGUCAGGCUCUUGGGACCUAGGCGGAGGGGAACCAGCAGCUUUGGACUUUAUUGAUUGUUUACUGCAAUAUUAACAGAACCAAAGGAGAUUUUCUUAUCUGGGGGAAAAUAUUUAUUUCAGAUGUUAAGCACUAGUGUUAUGCUACAAAAAAAUUGCUUCUGUGUAUUGUACAAUAUAAAGAUUCUACAUAAUUUGUAUGUUUGGAAAGCUAUAUUGUAGUGGAUAACAUAUAACAUUUAGAAUUUUAAUUUAGAAAUUUAAAAUGAAUGACAGAUCUCUACAUAAAUCAAGUACUGAAGAAUAAAUGUUUUCAACCAUAAUUUGCUAUUAUAGAUCCUUCUGGUGGAUAAUAAAAUGAAACACAUUUCCAAAUGUAUUGCUAUAAUAUUUAAUGAACUUUUUGAAACUUACAAAUUAUACAUUGAUCUGUGAGGCCUAGCAAAUGCAUUCAUACUGUUGUCUAUGGGGUAAUAAUCUGAGCGUGCAAGAAAACUGUUGCUUCUCUUUUCCUGUAAGGCAGUGCAGAGAUUCCUUUAUAGUUGUAACUGUAUCUCUUAGUCUAUAUAAUAAUACAAUAAAGGUUCUAAUUUGGUAUAUUAACCCCUUACUCUGAAAGAAAAGAGAAAGCUGGUGUCAAAUUCAUAAUCCUGUGAUGAAGUCACUUUGCACACAGAACCACAUACUUUUCAUUUACUUACUGUAUCUCAGCAGAGAAGACCGAACACCAGGAAUUAGGCUCAAACUUUAGUCUCUUCCCUCACUUUUUACUUUUCACUUAUAAAAACAGAUUAACUUCAGUGGCUGAAUACUUCAGUGGCUUCAGCAUAAGAUUUACCAGGACACAGCUGCUUUGUAAUGUCUAUCACUCCUAAAGUGCUGAACCAGAACACAGAAAAAUUGACUGUAUUUCUUAAUGUUUUAUAAGAAAUUUUUUGGUCCUGAUUAAUUUUUGUUCAGUUUCCUGUAUUUAACCCAAGAUGGUGCAGCACCCUGUUAAUAGUAUACUACUGUCACACUUCACUGAUUGAAACAAAGGCUUUACUUAGGGCAAGCAUCUAAACAAUUUGGUCAUUUUGAAAUUAAUAUUUUGGCUCCAGUUUAUUUUUUCCACAUAUGUAGGAGGAAUUGUGUUUUAUUGUAAUGCUAUUGUUAAAAUAAAUUAUUAUUAAACA